UACGUAGGGGGCAAGCGUUGUCCGGAAUUAUUGGGCGUAAAGAGCGCGUAGGCGGUCCGAUAAGUCGGCUGUGAAAGUCAGGGGCUCAACCCUUGGAAGCCGGCCGAUACUGUCGGACUAGAGUCCGGAAGAGGCGAGUGGAAUUCCCGGUGUAGCGGUGAAAUGCGCAGAUAUCGGGAGGAACACCCGUAGCGAAGGCGGCACUCUGGGCCGAUACUGACACUGAGGAGCGAAAGCGUGGGGAGCAAACAGG
rnacentral:rRNA from 1 species